GAGAAGGACAAAGUGGAGAGGGAGGAGAUGGAGCAAUCUCUUAUGUGAUCAUUCCAUCAACUCACAGAUUUUUCACCUAACACCUGGUUCAACUGUAAUGUGCUGAGCUCCAUAUAACCUGGACAGCAGCUGUGCCCUCACCCCUAAACUCAGCAAAAUAUUAUGGUCCUCUAAUCAAGAGAAUUUUGCUCCUGUUACUGCAUGUCUUGUGGGUUCAUCGUCAGACCAGUGAGUUGAUACCAAACUUCACCAAACGGUUCUCCGGAGCAACCGUUUAGAGGUGACUUGACUACCCUACCUGUGUCUGUGACUGAGUAGAGGCAAGAGGAGGGGGCUCUUAGCAGAAAUACAUUGGACAUGUGACCUGGUGAAGGCCAAGGGAGGGGUGUUGAUGUGAAGACGCUGGGGACAUCAUCUGUGAAGACAGGCCAGCCCUCCCCUUCUGCUGGAGCCUCAGUGUCCCCUCACCAUUCUGCGCUGGUCCAGAGAUUUCCUGCUGUUGAUACUUAUCAGAGACACAAAGCUGAGGAGGAACAGAUGUGCCAUGUCAUCAGCCAUAAUAGAAAAAGUGCAUGUAUCUUUUUUGGACCAGAUGUUUGCAAGAGUUGUAUUAAAUAUAUUUCAUUC
rnacentral:sRNA from 1 species